rnacentral:rRNA from 1 species
GUUUGAUCUUGGCUCAGAUUGAACGCUGGCGGCAUGCCUUACACAUGCAAGUCGAACGGCAGCACGGGAGCAAUCCUGGUGGCGAGUGGCGAACGGGUGAGUAAUAUAUCGGAACGUGCCCAGUUGUGGGGGAUAGCCCGGCGAAAGCCGGAUUAAUACCGCAUACGACCUGAGGGUGAAAGCGGGGGAUCGCAAGACCUCGCGCAGUUGGAGCGGCCGAUAUCAGAUUAGCUUGUUGGUGAGGUAAAAGCUCACCAAGGCGACGAUCUGUAGCUGGUCUGAGAGGACGACCAGCCACACUGGGACUGAGACACGGCCCAGACUCCUACGGGAGGCAGCAGUGGGGAAUUUUGGACAAUGGGCGCAAGCCUGAUCCAGCCAUGCCGCGUGUGGGAAGAAGGCCUUCGGGUUGUAAACCACUUUUGUCAGGGAAGAAACGGUCUGAACUAAUAAUUUAGGCUAAUGACGGUACCUGAAGAAUAAGCGCCGGCUAACUA